GACGAACGCUGGCGGCGGGCUUAACACAUGCAAGUCGAACGGAAACGCCCUGCUGUUGUCGGGUGCUCGAGUGGCGAACGGGUGAGUAACACGUGAGUAACCUGCCGUUGGCUGGGGGGUAACUACAGGAGACUGGGGUUAAUACCGGAUAGGAGCUCCUGCUGCAUGGUGGGGGUGGGAAAGUGUCGGCGGGCGGGGCUGGUCGCGCGGCUUAUAAGCUUGUUGGGGGGGGAGUGGCUGUCCACGGCUUGGCGUGCUAGCCGGCCUGAGAGGGUGACCGGCCACCUGGGUCCUGCGGUACGGACCAGUCUCCUACGGUGGGCAGCAGUGGCGAACAUUGCACAAUGGUCGGGCGCCUGAUACAGCAACGCCGCGUGCGUGAAGUCGGCCUUCGGGUUGUAAACCGCUUUCGCCUGUGACGAAGCGUGAGUGACGUUACUGGGUGAAGAAGCACCGGCUAACUACGUG
rnacentral:rRNA from 1 species